GUGCUCGCUUCGGCAGCACAUAUACUAAAAUUGGAACAAUACAGAGAUUAGCAUGGCCCCU
rnacentral:snRNA from 1 species